GACAGAGGGUGCAAACGUUGUUCGGAAUUACUGGGCGUAAAGCGCGUGUAGGCGGCCGCGUGUGUCGGGCGUGAAAUCCCACGGCUCAACCGUGGAAGUGCACUCGAAACUGCGCAGCUAGAGUCCUGGAGAGGAAGGUGGAAUGCUUGGUGUAGAGGUGAAAUUCGUAGAUAUCAAGCGGAACACCGGUGGCGAAGGCGGCCUUCUGGACAGUGACUGACGCUGAAGCGCGAAAGCGUGGGGAGCAAACGGG
rnacentral:rRNA from 1 species